GAGUUGUAAUCUAGAGAAGUGCUGCCCGUGCUGGACCAUGUACAAGUCUCCUGGAAUGGAGCGUCAUAGAGGGUGAGAAUCCCGUCUUUGACAUGGACUGCCAGUGCAUUGUGGUGUGCUCUCAAAGAGUCGAGUUGUUUGGGAAUGCAGCUCUAAAUGGGUGGUAAACUCCAUCUAAAGCUAAAUAUUGGCGAGAGACCGAUAGCGAACAAGUACCGUGAGGGAAAGAUGAAAAGAACUUUGGAAAGAGAGUUAAACAGUAUGUGAAAUUGUUGAAAGGGAAACGCUUAAAGUCAGUCGUGUCGGCCAGGGAUCAACCUAGUUUAUCUUUGCUGGGUGUACUUCCUGAUCUGAUGGGCCAACAUCAGUUUUGACUGCUGGAAAAGGGCAGAGGGAAUGUGGCACCUUUGGGUGUGUUAUAGCUCUCUGUCAUAUGCAGUGGUUGGGACUGAGG
rnacentral:rRNA from 1 species